GAUUACGGACAGCAGGAAUCAUAAGAACUCACAAGAACCCUCAGAUUCACGUUCAAUCGUACGAUAACGAGUUGUCUCUCUAAAGACAGACACAUAGACAUAUAAGCAGUAGAUUGUGUCCUUCCAGAGGAGGAAAUCUACUUCUAGACUUCUAUGUUCUAUGAUGUUUUAUUUUGUGUCUGUGCCCGACUUCCUUUCCAGCACGGGUUAAUCUGUGCUGAAUUUAUCCGCCAUGCUCCGGCGUCCAGAAAAAAUAGAACUCUUGUGAUCAGCUGAGGAGUCCGGCGAUCCGCAGAGGAACGGAAAGAAGUCGGUGUAAAUUGACACGUUAACUUGAAUGGUUACGAUCAGCUACGAUCGGAGGAUACGACCUUUUAGGAGACGAUCAGGAUGAAGGUGGAGGUCGGGGGUAACAGU